rnacentral:Y_RNA from 1 species
GGCUGCUCUGAGUGCAGUGAUGUUUACAACUAGUUGAUCACAACCACUUACAGACUUUGUUCCUACUCCAUUCCAACUGCUUCACUUGACUAGUCUUUA